UACAGAGGUCCCAAGCGUUGUUCGGAUUCACUGGGCGUAAAGGGUGCGUAGGUGGCAGGGUAAGUUUGAUGUGAAUCUCCGAGCUUAACUCGGAAACUGCAUUGAAUACUAUCCUGCUCGAGGAUUGGAGGGGGACUGGAAUUCUCGGUGUAGCAGUGAAAUGCGUAGAUAUCGAGAGGAACACCAAUUGCGAAGGCAGCUUACUACACAACGAUUGACGCUGAGGCACGAAAGCGUGGGGAUCAAACAGG
rnacentral:rRNA from 1 species